AUACGAAAGGGGCAAGCGUUGUUCGGAUUUACUGGGCGUAAAGAGAAUGUAGGUGGUUUGUUAAGUCGGAUGUGAAAUCCCGGGGCUCAACCUCGGAACUGCAUUCGAUACUGGCAGACUUGAGUUCGGGAGGGGAAAGCGGAAUUCCGUGUGUAGCAGUGAAAUGCGUAGAUAUACGGAGGAACACCUGAGGCGAAGGCGGCUUUCUGGACCGAUACUGACACUGAGAUUCGAAAGCGUGGGUAGCAAACAGGAUUAGAUACCCUGGUAGUCCACGCCCUAAACGAUGUCAACUAGCCGUUGCGGGUAUCGACCCCUGCAGUGGCGAAGCUAACGCGAUAAGUUGACCGCCUGGGGAGUACGGUCGCAAGAUUAAA
rnacentral:rRNA from 1 species